UACGUAGGGUGCAAGCGUUAAUCGGAAUUACUGGGCGUAAAGGGCUCGUAGGUGGCCAACUAAGUCAGACGUGAAAUCCCUCGGCUUAAACGGGGAACUGCGUCUGAUACUGGAUGGCUUGAGUUUGGGAGAGGGAUGCGGAAUUCCAGGUGUAGCGGUGAAAUGCGUAGAUAUCUGGAGGAACACCGGUGGCGAAGGCGGCAUCCUGGACCAACACUGACACUGAGGAGCGAAAGCCAGGGGAGCAAACGGG
rnacentral:rRNA from 1 species